CAUUGAAACAUAUCCACCCAUUGCACAGUGGGAACCCAAAGUAUGAAUAUCUGUUCUUUCUUUCUACCUUGCUCUGCAAGAUUAUGAAAGAUA
rnacentral:lncRNA from 1 species